UACGUAGGGGGCAAGCGUUGUCCGGAUUUAUUGGACGUAAAGAGCGUGUAGGCGGCCAGACAGGUCCGUUGUGAAAACUAGAGGCUUAACCUCUAGACGUCGAUGGAAACCGUCUGGCUAGAGUCCGGAAGAGGAGAAUGGAAUUCCUGGUGUAGCGGUGAAAUGCGCAGAUAUCAGGAAGAACACCCGUGGCUAAGGCGGUUCUCUAGUACGGUACUGACGCUGAGACGCGAAAGCGUGGGGAGCGAACAGG
rnacentral:rRNA from 1 species